rnacentral:rRNA from 1 species
UAGGGAAUCUUCGGCAAUGGACGGAAGUCUGACCGAGCAACGCCGCGUGAGUGAAGAAGGUUUUCGGAUCGUAAAGCUCUGUUGUUAGAGAAGAAUGAUGGUGGGAGUGGAAAAUCCACCAUGUGACGGUAACUAACCAGAAAGGGACGGCUAACUACGUGCCAGCAGCCGCGGUAAUACGUAGGUCCCGAGCGUUGUCCGGAUUUAUUGGGCGUAAAGCGAGCGCAGGCGGUUCUUUAAGUCUGAAGUUAAAGGCAGUGGCUCAACCAUUGUACGCUUUGGAAACUGGAGAACUUGAGUGCAGAAGGGGAGAGUGGAAUUCCAUGUGUAGCGGUGAAAUGCGUAGAUAUAUGGAGGAACACCGGUGGCGAAAGCGGCUCUCUGGUCUGUAACUGACGCUGAGGCUCGAAAGCGUGGGGAGCAAACA